GGAUCGCGUCGACGCCGGUGGUUCGCCGCCGGUGACGUUGUGAGAAGUUCAUUAAACCUUAUCAUUUAGAGGAAGGAGAAGUCGUAACAAGGUUUCCGUAGGUGAACCUGCGGAAGGAUCAUUG
rnacentral:rRNA from 1 species